UGGAGAGAACAGGUGGCUUU
rnacentral:miRNA from 1 species